GACAGGGAAGUAUAAUAUUUGUAUGUCGGUAUGUGGCUCCGAAGGAGUUGAGUCAAGCCCCUGUUU
rnacentral:tRNA from 2 species